rnacentral:lncRNA from 1 species
GAAGGACUCCUGGCGGAAGAGGACCCCGGUCCAAAACGAGGGUCCAGUGGCCGCCGCCCUGUUCGCCCAGCACCGGCGUCACGUGAAGUCUGAAGUCACUCUUAUCCAGUUACAUUUGACAGAUGAGAAAAUUAAAGCUCAGAAAGGGUACUCAGGAGGCUGAGGCAGGAGAAUCGCUUGAAACCGGGAAGCAGAAGUUGCAGUGAGCCGAGAUCUUGCCAUUGCAUUCCAGCCUGGACAACAGGGCGAAACUCUGUCUCAAAAAAAAAAAAAAAAAAAAAAAAAGAAGUUAUGAUUGAGACUCAGGUCUGUCUGACUCCAGCUGUUAACCACUAUGUUCUAAGCUCUACUAUGGUCAAGAGAUAUCCUUUGAGCACAUUUUUCAAGUCUCAUUGAAGAUUUUCAAUGGCCUUUCGGAAUUACGGGACUUACCCAGCUCUGCC